GUGCUCACUUCAGCAGCCCAUAUACUAAAAUUGGAACAAUACAGAGAAGCUUAGCAUGGCCCCUGUGCAAGGAUGACAUGCAAGUUCAUGAAGUGUUCCAUAUUCUU
ensembl:snRNA Gm23846 predicted gene, 23846